rnacentral:rRNA from 1 species
CGAACUCUUCAACUUGAGAGUUUGAUCCUGGCUCAGAGCGAACGCUGGCGGCAGGCCUAACACAUGCAAGUCGAGCGCCCAGCAAUGGGAGCGGCAGACGGGUGAG